rnacentral:lncRNA from 10 species
CCUUCAUCUCAGUGCAGCCAGGCCCCACAGUGGCCUCAGGAGAGAACGUGACCCUGCUGUGUCAGUCAUGGCGGCAGUUCCACACUUUCCUUCUGACCAAGGCGGGAGCAGCUGAUGCCCCACUCCGUCUAAGAUCAAUACACGAAUAUCCUAAGUACCAGGCUGAAUUCCCCAUGAGUCCUGUGACCUCAGCCCACGCGGGGACCUACAGGUGCUACGGCUCACUCAACUCCGACCCCUACCUGCUGUCUCACCCCAGUGAGCCCCUGGAGCUCGUGGUCUCAGGACCCUCCAUGGGUUCCAGCCCCCCACCCACCGGUCCCAUCUCCACACCUGCAGGCCCUGAGGACCAGCCCCUCACCCCCACUGGGUCGGAUCCCCAAAGUGGUGAGUGAGGGGCUCUGAGUGGGAGGUGGGCGGGGUCCCGGGGAGGCAGGGGUGGGUUCUGUCCUAGGUUCAGGCUCCUCUGGAGGUGGUGAUGUAGACAGGCUCCUCCCCUGCCUGGGCCUCAGUUUCUCCAAGUGUAAAGGAGAGAGGCCUGCAGGUGGGAAAGUUCCUUUCAGCUCUCACUCCCAGCUGUGACCUCCUGGGAGAGGAGGCCCCUCAGGGAAGACUCCAAGACUCGAUUCCGCGGGGGCCUGUCCCGUCCCACCUGCAGCAGAGACGGUGACCUGGGGCAGGGGAGGGGAGCAGAGUCGUGGUUCAGGACGGUAAGGCUCUUUCCCUGCAGCUCCGGGGCUCGGCUCUGGUGCAGGAACAAGGGCUGCAGGUCAGACUCCCAGGCUCCCUUCCCAGCUCUGCCGCUUCCUGGCUGGGGGCCCGGGGCAGGCGAUUCCCCUCUCUGAGCGUCAGUUUUUCAUCUGUAGAGUGGGUGGGGUGGAUGUUUGUGUGCUGCACGACUGUUGUGGGGGUUGGAGGUGGUGAACAGAAGGUCCAGCAGUCACCUGCACACAGUAGGCGCUCAUUUCAAUGACAUCACCCCCAUCCCUGACAUCAUCGUGCUCAAGGUCUGGGAAGGCACCUGGGGGUUGUGAUCGGCAUCUUGGUGGCCGUCGUCCUACUGCUCCUCCUCCUCCUCCUCCUCUUCCUCAUCCUCCGACAUCGACGUCAGGGCAAACACUGGACAUCGAGUGAGUAGGGAAGGGGAAACCCUGUGGGCCGACCGAGGGUGGGCUCAGGGCACAGCCAAAGAGAAUCCAAACCACUGGGCAAAUGCAGCUUUGAGAAACUGUUCCAGCAUUUCUCACCAGGUGAAUGGAGAAAGCACUUAACGUCAGUCCCAUCUACAAAUAUAAAGUGUCCUCCGGGCUCAGUCCCAUCUACAAAUGUAAAGUGUCCUUCGGACUCUGUCCAUCUCAUGAGGCAUUUGGAACAUGGAGGCAGGAGUGUUUUUAGGUUUCCUUCCUUACCUUCGAGCUGUGUGUGCAGGGCAGGGGGCUCCAAUGUUCCCAGGGCUGAGGCUCUGUCCUUCUUCCCCCAGCCCAGAGAAAGGCUGAUUUCCAACAUCCUGCAGGGGCUGUGGGGCCAGAGCCCACAGACAGAGGCCUGCAGUGGAGGUCCAGCCCAGCUGCCGACGCCCAGGAAGAAAACCUCUAUGCUGCCGUGAAGGACACACAGCCUGAAGAUGGGGUGGAGAUGGACACUCGGGCUGCUGCAUCUGAAGCCCCCCAGGAUGUGACCUACGCCCAGCUGCACAGCUUGACCCUCAGACGGAAGGCAACUGAGCCUCCUCCAUCCCAGGAAAGGGAACCUCCAGCUGAGCCCAGCAUCUACGCCACCCUGGCCAUCCACUAGCCCGGAGGGUACGCAGACUCCACACUCAGUAGAAGGAGACUCAGGACUGCUGAAGGCACGGGAGCUGCCCCCAGUGGACACCAAUGAACCCCAGUCAGCCUGGACCCCUAACAAAGACCAUGAGGAGAUGCUGGGAACUUUGGGACUCACUUGAUUCUGCAGUCGAAAUAACUAAUAUCCCUACAUUUUUUAAUUAAAGCAACAGACUUCUCAAUAA